AUUGAACGCUGGCGGCAUGCUUUACACAUGCAAGUCGAACGGUAACAGGCCGCAAGGUGCUGACGAGUGGCGAACGGGUGAGUAAUGCAUCGGAACGUGCCCAGUCGUGGGGGAUAACGCGGCGAAAGCUGUGCUAAUACCGCAUACGAUCUAUGGAUGAAAGCGGGGGACCGUAAGGCCUCGCGCGAUUGGAGCGGCCGAUGUCAGAUUAGGUAGUUGGUGGGGUAAAGGCCUACCAAGCCGACGAUCUGUAGCUGGUCUGAGAGGACGACCAGCCACACUGGGACUGAGACACGGCCCAGACUCCUACGGGAGGCAGCAGUGGGGAAUUUUGGACAAUGGGCGCAAGCCUGAUCCAGCAAUGCCGCGUGCAGGAUGAAGGCCUUCGGGUUGUAAGCUGCUUUUGUACGGAACGAAAAGACUCUGGUUAAUACCUGGGGUCCAUGACGGUACCGUAAGAAUAAGCACCGGCUAACUACGUGCCAGCAGCCGCAGUAAAAC
rnacentral:rRNA from 1 species